rnacentral:rRNA from 1 species
GAUGAACGCUGGCGGCGUGCCUAAUACAUGCAAGUCGAGCGAACGGACGAGAAGCUUGCUUCUCUGAUGUUAGCGGCGGACGGGUGAGUAACACGUGGAUAACCUACCUAUAAGACUGGGAUAACUUCGGGAAACCGGAGCUAAUACCGGAUAAUAUUUUGAACCGCAUGGUUCAAAAGUGAAAGACGGUCUUGCUGUCACUUAUAGAUGGAUCCGCGCUGCAUUAGCUAGUUGGUAAGGUAACGGCUUACCAAGGCAACGAUGCAUAGCCGACCUGAGAUGGUGAUCGGCCACACUGGAACUGAGACACGGUCCAGACUCCUACGGGAGGCAGCAGUAGGGAAUCUUCCGCAAUGGGCGAAAGCCUGACGGAGCAACGCCGCGUGAGUGAUGAAGGUCUUCGGAUCGUAAAACUCUGUUAUUAGGGAAGAACAUAUGUGUAAGUAACUGUGCACAUCUUGACGUUACCUAAUCAGAAAGCCACGGCUAACUACGUG